GAGAAAUUCUAGAACGUGCAAACUCGUUCAUGGAGAUGAAAGAACACACUAUCAAAUGAUGAACAGAAGAAAUAACAGAAGUAAAUCUAAAAAUUCUUACAUUCAAAUGAAAAUGAAAACACAACACUCCCUGGGAACCCAUCUGCCACGCCAGCCAGGGAAUCAGACCAAAGCUCUGCCGAAUAUAACUUUCUAAAAGGUUGUUCUGUGGUACAGUUAUCUUCCAAAUGCUGCAGAAACAGAGAGGAGAAAUGGCUUCCAGGUUGAAAUGCUGGGUUUCAUGUUAUAGGCAGCAGCAAGGAGUUUAUCUGGUUCUUACCGAUGUUGCUUUUCCUUUGAGAGCAGAUGGGCUACAAACACCAGGCACACCACUGUUUCCUUUGGAGAAGAGGCAGAGGUGGGAAGCCAGCAGCUGAAGCUUAGCGCCACCCAGCCCCUCCUCCGCAUUUCAUCGUCUCCUUCACCAUCAAUACCAAAGUCCCAACACAUGCCGGGGAGUCAGGGAGGGCUCUGAAGCAAAGCUUGGAUUUAACAAAACCUAAACCAGCCAUAGUCCUUCCUAAAUCAAAACUCUUGCCUCCACCUGGCAAGACACCAGAACUCCUUUUAAAAUACACACUGGAGCCAGGUAUUCUGUGAGUGCUCAGACCACAUGUACGAGUUAAAUAGUAACAGCUUAUACAUUUGCUUACCAUAACCUCUAGAUGUGU